rnacentral:snoRNA from 1 species
CUGCACGUAGCUACCCCGGGCACUCCGAUUUUCAUUGAGGAUCCUGCCCUAUGCUGGUGCUAAAACGAAUCCUGUUUGUGUUACUUGAUCUGUGAACCUCCCGCAUUUCAAGCGUCAAUAAACUCAGGUACAGUU